rnacentral:pre_miRNA from 14 species
GUGGGUGUGUCAGACAGGCAGUGCAUUGCUAGCUGGCUGUUAGAACUUCGUCCCAACAGUGGCUAGCUGCACUACCCUCUGCUGCACUUAGA